rnacentral:rRNA from 1 species
GACGAACGCUGGCGGCGUGCUUAACACAUGCAAGUCGAACGGUAAGGCCCUUCGGGGUACACGAGUGGCGAACGGGUGAGUAACACGUGGGUGAUCUGCCCUGCACUUCGGGAUAAGCCUGGGAAACUGGGUCUAAUACCGGAUAGGACCACUGCCUGCAUGGGUGGUGGUGGAAAGCUUUUGCGGUGUGGGAGGGGCCCGCGGCCUAUCAGCUUGUUGGUGGGGUGAUGGCCUACCAAGGCGACGACGGGUAGCCGGCCUGAGAGGAUGACCGGCCACACUGGGACGGGGAUACGGCCCGGACUCCUACGGGAGGCAGGAGUGGGGAGUAUUACACAAUGGGCGCGAGCCUGAUGCAGCGACGCCGCGUGAGGGAUGACGGCCUUCGGGUUGUAUACCUCUUUCAGCACCGAAGAAGCGCAAGUGACGGUAGGUGCAGAAGAAGGACCGGCCAACUACGUGCCAGCCGCCGCCGUAA